GACGAACGCUGGCGGCGUGCCUAACACAUGCAAGUGGAGCGACGAACCAGGCUUCGGCCUGGGGCUAAGCCGCGAACGGGUGAGUAACACGUGGGUAACCUGCCCCGAUGACUGGGACAACCCGAGGAAACUCGGGCUAAUACCGGAUGUGCUCUGCCGGCAUAGGCCGGCUUGAGGAAAGGAAGCUUCGGCCUCCGCAUCGGGGAGGGCCCGCGGCCCAUUAGCUAGUUGGUGUGGUAACGGCUCACCAAGGCGA
rnacentral:rRNA from 1 species